rnacentral:tRNA from 1 species
GGCCUCGUAGCUCAGCUGGUAGAGCAUGCGCGUACAAAGCGUAGGCGGUGUCUAUGCUUGGGUUCCAAUCCCACCGAGGCUA